rnacentral:sRNA from 1 species
CCCCCAUCCUCCAAUAAGCUUGGGUGGGUGGACAGAUCCCAAAGGAUGGUGGGACAGUGGAAGCUAUGGAGAGAGAAGAGGAACAUCAGGAAGUAGCCUGGGCUCAGGAAGUGCCCUAACACUUAGGAAGAGAGAGGGCAAGAACAUUGUGCUGAAUUCUGGUUGACAUAUCUUGGCCACACUGAGUGAUGCCCUGGGAACUGUUCCAAAACAGAGGGAGAAUGUGUGCAAGUGUGGCUAUGCCCAGAGCCAGCACAUGGAAGGCACCCAGAUCAACCAAAGUGAGAAAUGGAACUACAAGAAACACACCAAGG